rnacentral:rRNA from 1 species
UACGUAGGGUGCAAGCGUUGUCCGGAAUUAUUGGGCGUAAAGAGCUUGUAGGCGGUUUGUCGCGUCUGCUGUGAAAUUUCGGGGCUCAACCCCGAACUUGCAGUGGGUACGGGCAGACUAGAGUGUGGUAGGGGAGACUGGAAUUCCUGGUGUAGCGGUGAAAUGCGCAGAUAUCAGGAGGAACACCGAUGGCGAAGGCGGUUCUCUGGGCCUUACCUGACGCUGAGGAGCGAAAGCGUGGGGAGCAAACAGG